rnacentral:rRNA from 1 species
GACGAACGCUGGCGGCGUGCUUAACACAUGCAAGUCGAACGGAAAGGCCCUGCUUUUGUGGGGUGCUCGAGUGGCGAACGGGUGAGUAACACGUGAGUAACCUGCCCUUGACUUUGGGAUAACUUCAGGAAACUGGGGCUAAUACCGGAUAGGAGCUCCUGCUGCAUGGUGGGGGUUGGAAAGUUUCGGCGGUUGGGGAUGGACUCGCGGCUUAUCAGCUUGUUGGUGGGGUAGUGGCUUACCAAGGCUUUGACGGGUAGCCGGCCUGAGAGGGUGACCGGCCAGAUGGGGACUGGGAUACGGCCCAGCCUGCUGCGGGAGGCAGCAGUGGGGGAUGUUGCACGAGGGGCGGAGGCCUGAUGCAGCAACGCCGCGUGCGGGAUGACGGCCUUCGGGUUGUAGACCGCUUUCGCCUGUGACGAAGCGUGAGUGACGGUAAUGUGUAAAGAAGCACCGGCUAACUACGUG